rnacentral:rRNA from 1 species
CCUACGGGAGGCAGCAGUAGGGAAUAUUGGGCAAUGGAGGCAACUCUGACCCAGCCAUGCCGCGUGCAGGAUGAAGGCGUUAUGCGUUGUAAACUGCUUUUAUAUAGGAAGAAAGAGUUCUUGCGAGAACAGUUGACGGUACUAUAUGAAUAAGCACCGGCUAACUCCGUGCCAGCAGCCGCGGUAAUACGGAGGGUGCAAGCGUUGUCCGGAUUUAUUGGGUUUAAAGGGUGCGUAGGCGGUUUAUUAAGUCAGUGGUGAAAGACGGUCGCUCAACGAUUGCAGUGCCAUUGAUACUGGUAGACUUGAGUGAGAUUGAGGUAGCUGGAAUGGAUAGUGUAGCGGUGAAAUGCAUAGAUAUUAUCCAGAACACCAAUUGCGUAGGCAAGUUACUAAGUCUCAACUGACGCUGAGGCACGAAAGUGUGGGUAUCAAACAGGAUUAGAUACCCUGGUAGUCCACACUGUAAACGAUGAUAACUAACUGUUGGCUUUCGGGUCAGUGGUACAGAGAAAUCGUUAAGUUAUCCACCUGGGGAGUACGCCGGCAACGGUGAAACUCAAAGGAAUUGACGGCGNGAGAGAGCGAGGACGACACGAGGGAGAGG